CCGCCCUGGGUAAGUCGGGACCUAAGGCGAGGCCGACAGGCGUAGUCGAUGGACAACGGGUUGAUAUUCCCGUACUGACGAAAAACCGCCCAAACUAAUCCAGUAAUGCUAAGAGUCCGAAUACCGGUGACCGAUCCCUUCGGGGAGGAGCUCCGGGGCUAGCACUCGACCCUAUGCUGGUGCGGUUAGCGUAUUAACAGGUGUGACGCAGGAAGGUAGCCGUACCGGGCGAUGGUUGUCCCGGUGUAAGGACGUAGGGCGAGAGAUAGGCAAAUCCGUCUCUCACAUAGCCUGAGAUCUGAUGCAUAGCCCUCACGGGCGAAUUCGGUGAUCCUAUGCUGCCAAGAAAAGCAUCGACGCGAGGUUCAAGCCGCCCGUACCCCAAACCGACUCAGGUGGUCAGGUAGAGAAUACCAAGGAGAUCGAGAGAAUCGUGGUUAAGGAACUCGGCAAAAUGCCCCCGUAACUUCGGGAGAAGGGGGGCCUGAGGCGUGAAGGCACUUGCUGCUGGAGCGUUUGAAGGCCGCAGAGACCAGUGGGAAGCGACUGUUUACUAAAAACACAGGUCCGUGCUAAGUCGUAAGACGAUGUAUACGGACUGACUCCUGCCCGGUGCUGGAAGGUUAAGCGGACCUGUUAGGCGCAAGCCGAAGCGGAGAAUUUAAGCCCCAGUAAACGGCGGUGGUAACUAUAACCAUCCUAAGGUAGCGAAAUUCCUUGUCGGGUAAGUUCCGACCUGCACGAAUGGCGUAACGACUUCCCAGCUGUCUCAACCGCGAACUCGGCGAAAUUGCACUACGAGUAAAGAUGCUCGUUACGCGCAGCAGGACGGAAAGACCCCGUGACCUUUACUAUAGCUUGGUAUUGGUGUUCGGUGUGGCUUGUGUAGGAUAGGUGGGAGACUGUGAAGCCCGGACGCUAGUUCGGGUGGAGUCGUUGUUGAAAUACCACUCUGGUCGUACUAGAUAUCUAACCUAGGUCCAUGAUCUGGAUCAGGGACAGUGCCUGAUGGGUAGUUUAACUGGGGCGGUUGCCUCCUAAAAUGUAACGGAGGCGCUCAAAGGUUCCCUCAGCCUGGUUGGCAAUCAGGUGGCGAGUGUAAGUGCACAAGGGAGCUUGACUGUGAGACUGACAGGUCGAGCAGGGACGAAAGUCGGGACUAGUGAUCCGGCAGUGGCUUGUGGAAGCGCUGUCGCUCAACGGAUAAAAGGUACCUCGGGGAUAACAGGCUGAUCUUGCCCAAGAGUCCAUAUCGACGGCAUGGUUUGGCACCUCGAUGUCGGCUCGUCGCAUCCUGGGGCUGGAGUAGGUCCCAAGGGUUGGGCUGUUCGCCCAUUAAAGCGG
rnacentral:rRNA from 1 species